UUCUGAGUUUGAAAAAUAUCUUCUGAGUUUAGAAAAUAACUUCUGAGUUUGAAAAAUAUCUUCUGAGUUUAGAAAAUAACUUCUGAGUUUGAAAAAUAUCUUCUGAGUUUGGAAAAUAACUUCUGAGUUUGAAAAAUAACUUGAGAGUAGGCAUACAGAUAACUUAGCGCGUCUUUUCAUUUGUCUUUCUCAUUCCGCGUUAUUAUUCCAAGCUUGACUGUUGAUAAAAUCACUAUAAUAAAAAUGUAUUCUAUCAUUAAAAAUAAAAUUUGUAGUAGAACUACUUUUAAAAGAAAAGUUAAAAAAAUAAUAUUAGAAAUGCGUGAAAAAGAAAGAAUUAAAAAUCUUGAACAAGUUUUUCUUAGCAAGAGGUUAUUUGAAGUGCAGCAACACCUUUCGGAAAAUGAAAUAAGUGCUAAUUGUGAACAAGGUUUUUCUAACACGAAAUUUGAAGAGUUGCAACACCUAUCGAAUAUUAUUUCUGAACAUGAAAGUGACAGUGAAAAUUCUGGAAACAAUUGUGUCGCUGUCUCAACUAAUUUUGAAGCUAUUCCAGAAAAUUUAAAAAAAAACUUAGUAUUAUGGGCUAUUCAGCAUAACAUAUCGAAUAUUUGCUUGCGUGAUUUGCUUAACAUUUUGCAUAAUUCUCAUCCUUAUUUGCCAUUAGACCCUCGAACAUUAUUACAAACUCGCGUUUCCCUUGAGAAAAUUUUUAUCGAAGUUCCACCUGGUAGAUACUGGCAUUUCGGUUUGGUUCGCGCUCUUACUAAGGUUUUUGAAAGUGUUCAGACAUGUCAAACAGUAAUAUUCUUGGACUUUAAUAUUGAUGGGAUUCCUGUUAGCAAAAGUUCAAAGGGCCAAUUUUGGCCUAUUUUGUGUUCACCAGAUGGUUUUCGUGUGCCGCCGCUAGUAAUAGGUGUUUACUACGGAAUGGCAAAACCUUCAAGUGUUAAUGAAUUUCUGCGAUUAUUUCUUGAGGAGGCUGUUAACAUUGAUGAUUUGAACAUUGGUUCCAAAAAAAUAAGUUUUAAAAUCAGGAAUUUCAUCUGUGACGCCCCCGCUCGUUCUUAUUUAAAAGGAAUCAAAGGGCAUAAUGGUUAUUUUGCUUGUGAAAGAUGUAAUGUAGAAGGGGAUUAUAAUUACAAAUCUCACCAAAUGUGUUUUCCAAACCUAUCAAAAUCACUUCGCACGAAUGAUUCUUUCCGGGCUGGGAUACACGAAGAUCAUCAUACGCAACCAUCUCCAUUAGAAAAACUUCCAAUAGAUAUUAUUAUGAAUUUUCCUCUAGAUUACAUGCACUUGUUGUGCUUAGGUGUCAUGAAAAAAUUGUUGGUUACAUGGAUUAAGAAUAGAACCCUUAAAACAAAAUUCUCGGCAAAAAACAUUGAGAGAAUCUCUAAGACCUUAGUAUCACUACGAAAAUAUGUUCCAUGCGACUUCAAUAGAACACCUCGUGGACUUGAUGUGAUAAGCUUUUGGAAGGCCACUGAAUUUCGUAUGUUUUUGUUGUACUUAGGUCCGGUUGUUUUGCAAAAUGAAACUCAUGAAGAAGUAUAUGCCAAUUUUAUGGAACUACACUGUGCUGUUUCAAUAUGUUUGAGUAAAAAUAAACAAGUUUUUGUUGAUGUCGCACAGAGUCUGUUCAAAUCAUUCAUAUAUAACUUUUCUAGUAUCUAUGGAGCUGAAAACAUAAGUUAUAACGUUCACAAUUUAUAUCAUGUCGUAGAUGAUGUUAAAUACCAUGGACCUUUAGAUAAUAUAAGUGCUUUCAAAUAUGAAAAUCGUUUACAAUAUUUAAAACGUCGAAUAAGAUCUGGAAACAGACCCCUGGAACAAAUUGCAAAUAGGAUUAUCGAAGAUUUUGAGAAUGUAGAUCUAAUUGAUGUAGAUGAAAACAAAACUCCUAUGCUUUAUAUGAAAGAUAGGAAUAAAAUAUGCAAAAUUAAACACUGUGUUGGAAUCUAUAGAGCAAUUCAGCUUCAACAUUUUGUUUUGAAGUCGUCACUUGCAGAUAGUUACUUCUUAACAAACUCAGAAGAAAUUGUUAGAAUGGAGUUUGCAACAUAUCGACAUGGCAUCCCAGUUAUCUAUGGUUCAAGCUUAAAACAAAAACAAAAUUUUUACGAAAAACCGUUCUAUUCUAAAUUUUUAAGCGUUUAUAAAUCAAAUGAAGAAGAAAAUUUGCCUAAUUUUUAUAACAUAGAAAAUAUUUCCUCUAAAUUUUUCAAAAUAACUUUACCAAACACUGAAUCUGUUUUUUUUCCAUUAGUACAUUGUUAAUCAAAAUGUAUUGUGUUGUGGAGACGCUCGAAGAUGAAGGGAAGUUCGUGACGGCAGUUCCCAAAAAUUGGGUCAUCGAUGGAACGAAGCUAUUAUGGCCAAAGUCCAAGAAAGAUUCCAUUUGCGGUCGGAAAAAUUGCAUCACAGCAUCGGAUGAUUGGCAAAGCAUAGCAUGCAAAUUAAUAUUUGAUGACAUCGGUAAGAUACAAGUUUAACUACAUCUUUUUUAUUUUAUUUUUAUUAAGUUCACUUAGACCACUUUUCUCCAAGUAAAAUUUUAUUCGUAUCUAAACUUAAAGCAGUUUAUCCUGGGGGCCUAUUUUUGACAGCUUAGUUACGUUAAUUUUGAUACACUUUAGGUCCCCUUUCAUAUACUUAAAGUAAUCGCGGUUAUGGCCUUUCAAUAUUUUUAUAUUUGAAUAACGCUUCAUAAUAUUCUACACAAUGAGAUUUAUUACAGAAAUUAAAGUUUUUUAGACCGGUCUUUCUUAUAUAAACACAUUACAUUGUCAUCGAGUGCAAUUCAGCAUCAGCCAAUUUGCAAAACAAUAUCGCAAAUUUCGCGAAGAACAAUGGCGCCUUAAAACACGACUAGCAGGUGUUUUUGCGAGCGGGUGCAAUAGCAAAACUCACAGCAACCCUUUUUCUCUUCGUUCACGACAGCGUGCGUGAACGAAAAGGCGUCACGGCGCGGCGCCCACGACUACAAUCGACAUGUUGAUCUUGUGUGAUCGAUACAAGAGCAAUAAAACAAUAAAACAUCGACCUUUUUUCACUUCACUUCGUUGACAAAAUCAAUAAGUGUACUGUACAACAAUAAAACAAUAAAACCGCGACCUUUUUUUUACGUCGUCCAAGACAGCGCGCUUGAACAAAGCGCCACCCGCGACCGACGGUCGACUUGUUGUUCUUGUGUGUUCGAUACAAGAUCAAUAAGUGUACAGCGAUAAAACAAUAAAACAGCGACCUUUUUUUCGCGAAGAACAAUGGCGCCUUAAAAAAAAAUUUUCGACCAGCAGGUGUUUUUGCGAGCGGGUGCAAUAACAAAACUCACAGCAACCCUUUUUCGCUUCGUUCACGAGAGCGCGCGUGAACGAAAAGGCGCCACCUACAACAUUUAAAUAUACAUUUUUAAAAAGCUAGAAACUUAGUCAUAUUUGUAAAAUUAAAAUUAAGUUAAUUGAAUUAAGAGCUUUUGAAAGAAUGGUAUCUGAACUCAGAUUUUUGAAAAAAAAAAAUUAUUGAAGAAAUUUUAAGAUGUCGUUUUUUAAACUUUUUCGUAAUAUAAAAUGCAUUUAUUUUCAAAUUUUUCUGACCACAUUUAUUACGAUUUGAAAUUAUAAAAGAAAAUGUCAAUAUGUAUUACGGUUUAUGAAAAAAAUUAAAAAGUAUUUCAUUUUCGAAGAACUUUUUUUAAUAGAAGUUUUGAAAAAAAAUUUUACUUAUUUGUUUUUUAAAGUUCAACAUCUAAAUAUAAAGUCAUUUUUUCUUCAGUCAAUAGCCCUUAUUGUUGAAAGUUAAAUAGCAAAAAUUUAAAGUUCUUAUUUACCAAAGUCUUUGAGAAAAUUAAUUAUUUCAAAGCAAAAAUUCAGUUUUUAUAAAAAAAACCCAUUGAAAUUGAAAUUUUUUUCAAAAACUCUUGAUUAAAUUUAGUGGAUUUAAAUUUAGGAGAUAAGAAUGAGCUUCUGGCUUUUUAAAAAUGUAUUUUAAAAUAUUGUAGGUGUUGCCGUUGUUUUCAAAAUAUUUUUUUUGUGUUUAAAGUCAGAUUAUGAGAAAAUUGCAUUUAUCUCUUAAACGAUGGAAGAUUGUCCCUUACUCCCUUAUAUUUUUUUUCCUUAAAUAACCUAGAGAAUCUUUUGCUAUCAUUUGUUUUAUGAAAUUUAAGAAAAAAAAUGGUUGUGUUCAAAAAAAAUUUAAUUGUAAUUUUAAAAAACAAUACGGUAACAUCGGCAAUUUUUAAUCUAUAGACUUUAAAGCAUUUUUAAUUGCCUACGUUUGAAAAAAAAUCGUCAAAAUCUGAGCUGUUCGGCCGGUCUUAAGCCGCUUCACCUUUUGAACAAAUAUUUUCUUGUAUCCCUUUCAUGCCACUUAUAUUUACGACAAAACAUGUAUUUCCUUUUAAGGUUCCUGGGAGGAAGCAGUUCAGAAGGAAAAGGAUGCCGAGUAUUUGUCUUCUUCUGAAGAAAAUACGGAAGAAGUGACCAUCGACACCAAUUCUUCGGAAUACAUGACAGAUAUGAACAAAUUGAUGUCAACUUUGAUUCCUAAUUCUGACGUUUCCUCGUUCACCCCCCCAAAUGAAGAUGUUACCAUCACUAAUGUCAUUUCCGACUUAUACACGUUUGAAGGUAAAAAAUGUAUUUUAGCACUAGUACAAUUUUCAAAGUCGUUUUUAAACUCCAGCUUAUCUUAGACUGGGGUUUAUCCAAUGUUAUUUGAAUAGGAUAAACCCCAGUCCCUCUUAGUAACAGCUGAGAUAGCAUAUUAGUUCUUUCACUAACCGUAUUACUUUUUUUUGUAUAUUACUAUAACUCUUAUUUUUAAUUGUUUAUAGGCCCCAGCACCAGUACCCAAUUCAAGGAACUGUCGUCCAAAAUAGACGAAAUUUUGGAAAGACAGCGUUCCACUGAGGUGAAGGUGCAGGCCAUGCAAGGAAUGCUGGAGGCAUUCAU